rnacentral:lncRNA from 1 species
GAACCACCUCCAGACCAAUUUACACUCACCUGCGACAAAAUAGGGAGGUUGUGUGCUUGAUUUGCACAGUGCAACUCAAGUUGUAAGCAUCUUGCAUGGGACCAUCUGAUGCACAAGACUUUCCUCUUGAUGAGUAAAAUGAUCUGAUAUCAGACAUUUGAGUUCCUUUGCAGCUUAAGGAGUUAAUCCUAUUUAUCUUAGAGAACAGCAAUUCAACUAUCUGGCUAGCUUGACAAAUAACUAUACACCAACAAUGUGUGCAAAGGCAAUUAAGUGUAUCCUUGGAAAAUUUUAUCUGAGAUUAUGCAGAGUUGUUUACAACUUUUUUGUUCAAGCCUAGUGACUUAUUUCAGUGCAUGAAAAUCAUCCCGCCUUUCAUCCUGUCCUGACAAACUGGGAUCAUGUAAACAGCACAUUUAGCCAUUAAGUUGAUUUGCACUCUAAUUUUCCUACUUAUAUUAUUUAACUCUGUCUAACGUCAUACAAUUUUAUUAAGCAGGGGGUGCACUGGCAGUUAAUUAAUGGGUAACUAGACACAUGGGCAGUCCCAUUAUGAAGCAUAAAAUCGUCUAGCGUUGGACAGUAAAAUACUCAAGUAGAGCAUGCAUCAGGGCACAGUACAACCUAAUGGUUAAAUUUGUUUUUUGUAGCAAAAUGGUUUAAGUUUUAUAUCUGAAUUUUUAAAAUUUUUUUUUGCUUUGUUUUACAGAUCAUUACUUGAACGUGCUGAUGAAAUAUUGAUUUAUAAAAUAUCAUGUUACCAAGAUGACAUGCCUCGAAGAGCAAUACAUGAGGGAAUACCUCUAUUUCUAAUCAAAUUACAACGAUACACCAAAGACAGUAGUUCUCGGAUGAAAUGAAAGGAUUGAUAAAUGUUCAUGACCAGCAGUGGAUAUUUGUGACUAUAAUAAAUGGAUACAAAGAAACUAUGAUGGAUAAAUAUGGCCCCGUAAUGGAUAUUCAGUUGAUGGACAUACAAAGGUCACAGAAAUGUCUAUUUUCAGGUACUGUUCUUUCUUGUUUGCCUGCGAACAGGCUGUAGAUACUUGUAUCCAGGCCAUUGUUUGUUUGUUUUUUGUUCUGGGUACAAUGAAAUCCGGCAUAAAUCCUGGCGGUCUAAAUGUUCAGUAUAUUUACAAAUUCGAUCUAUUUUCUGUUCAGUAGACUUUGAUAGCUUGAAAGAAAGUUUAUAACGAUGAUUUUCCCUGCAAAAACUGUAAUUU